GCGAACGCUGGCGGCAGGCCUAACACAUGCAAGUCGAACGAACCUUUCGGGGUUAGUGGCGGACGGGUGAGUAACACGUGGGAACGUGCCUUUAGGUUCGGAAUAACUCAGGGAAACUUGUGCUAAUACCGAAUGUGCCCUUCGGGGGAAAGAUUUAUCGCCUUUAGAGCGGCCCGCGUCUGAUUAGCUAGUUGGUUGAGGUAAUGGCUCACCAAGGCGACGAUCAGUAGCUGGUCUGAGAGGAUGAUCAGCCACAUUGGGACUGAGACACGGCCCAAACUCCUACGGGAGGCAGCAGUGGGGAAUCUUGCGCAAUGGGCGAAAGCCUGACGCAGCCAUGCCGCGUGAAUGAUGAAGGUCUUAGGAUUGUAAAAUUCUUUCGCCGGGGACGAUAAUGACGGUACCCGGAGAAGAAGCCCCGGCUAACUUCGUG
rnacentral:rRNA from 1 species